CAAAAACAUGUCCUUUAGGUAUACUUUAAGGUCAGGCCUGCCCAAUGAUUUAUUAAAUGGCCGCAGUAUUUUGACUGUGCAAAGGUAGCAUAAUCAUUAGUUUCUUAAUUAGAAGCUGGAAUGAAGGGUUUGAUGAGAAAUUAGCUGUCUUUUUUUAAAUUUUAGAAUUUUAUUUUUGAGUUAAAAAGCUUAAAUUUUUUAUAAAGACGAGAAGACCCUAUAGAGUUUAAUGGUUCUAAUAUUUAGAUUUAAAGGUUUAAUUUUAUUUAAAUUUUAUUUUCCAAUUUAUUGGGGUGAUUAGAAAAUAAGAUUAACUUUUCUGAGGUUUAACAUUGAUUAAUGUUUUAUUGAUCCUUAAAUUAAGAUUAUAAGAUUAAAUUACCUUAGGGAUAACAGCGUAAUUCUUUUUGAGAGUUCUUAUUAAUAAAAGAGUUUGCGACCUCGAUGUUGGAUUAAAAUAAAUGUUGGGUGUAGAAGCUUGACUAUUGGGUCUGUUCGACCUUUAAAAUUUUACAUGAUCU
rnacentral:rRNA from 1 species